rnacentral:lncRNA from 1 species
AACAAAUGCAGGCAGCACUUGCAAAAGGGCAAGAAGGGACAGAGACAUAGGACCUCACACAGCUGCUGAAUAUGUCUGCUACCAAAACAGUUCUUCAGAGUCACCUGGAAGCCUCACAGGGAGCUAAAUGCUGGACACCCACAGAAGCCCUUCCCAUCCUGCCUGCCUGGAGGUUCUGCAGCAUCCCACAUCCUGCUGUCACAGCCCUUGUUACAUAAUGUCUGCUGCUGCCCAUCACUUCAACAAGCCUUAGACUCUGCAGCCUUGAAAGGAGUGUGCUUGCGAGAGCAGAAAAUCUGGCAGAUUAUUCCAGCAUUAUAUCCCUUCUUCCUGUUUUUAAACAUUUAAUCAUAAUUGCUAUUCUGUAUCACGAUUCUGCAGCACAAGAGCACACUGGGUGAUGCAACUUGUGUCUACUUGGCCUCCAUCUGUACGUCCUUGCAUCGCACUGAUUUGCUGCUUCUUGUCUUCUCUCCAAGUGCAGUCUCAGCUUGAGUGAAGCCAAUGUCUCUAUUACUGCUGGAACAGAAGCAAAAGAAAAAAAAGACCAGCAGCAACAGAAAGAAAAAGACACUGGACAUGCGUGUAUCUUAAUUGUCAGUAUAAUGAAGCCAGUAUGAUAAUGAUUUUACUGCUUUAAUCCCUGUCUGCUCUGCUGUUGCCUGUGGUAAUUUUAUUAUUUUUUGAACUUACUCCUUGGUGU